rnacentral:rRNA from 1 species
UGCCAGCCGCCGCGGUAAUACGGAGGGGGCUAGCGUUGUUCGGAUUUACUGGGCGUAAAGCGCGCGUAGGCGGCUUGCCAAGUUGGAGGUGAAAGCCCAGGGCUCAACCCUGGAACUGCCUUCAAAACUGGCUCGCUAGAGACCGGGAGAGGUGAGUGGAAUUCCCAGUGUAGAGGUGAAAUUCGUAGAUAUUGGGAAGAACACCAGUGGCGAAGGCGGCUCACUGGACCGGUACUGACGCUGAGGCGCGAAAGCGUGGGGAGCAAACAGGAUUAGAUA